GUCACAGGUAGGUCUGCAGCAGCUGAUGUAUCGAGUAUCGUGCCACGUCAACGCCUACCCACAGACCACAGGAAAAAAGAAAUCCGAUCCUGCCAGGAUUCGAACCUGGAAUCUUCUGAUCCGUAGUCAGACGCGUUAUCCGUUGCGCCACAGGACCGACCUUCGUUUUAGUUUUUAUGUACUUGUACAAAUAUAGUAUUUAUAUUAUAUAUUAAAAUUGUAUUUAUGUUUGUAUGAUUUUGGUUAAAUAAAAUAAAUCCCUUAAUACUUUGACAGUAAA